rnacentral:rRNA from 1 species
AACGAACGCUGGCGGCAGGCUUAACACAUGCAAGUCGAACGCAACCUUCGGGGUGAGUGGCAGACGGGUGAGUAACGCGUGGGAACGUGCCCUUCAGUUCGGGAUAACCCAGGGAAACUUGGGCUAAUACCGGAUACGUGCGAGAGCAGAAAGAUUUAUCGCUGAAGGAUCGGCCCGCGUCUGAUUAGCUAGUUGGUGGGGUAAUGGCCCACCAAGGAGACGAUCAGCAGCUGGUCUGAGAGGAUGAUCAGCCACAUUGGGACUGAGACACGGCCCAAACUCCUACGGGAGGCAGCAGUGGGGAAUAUUGGACAAUGGGCGCAAGCCUGAUCCAGCCAUGCCGCGUGAGUGAUGAAGGCCUUAGGGUUGUAAAGCUCUUUCGUCCGGGACGAUAAUGACGGUACCGGAAGAAGAAGCCCCGGCUAACUUCGUGCCAGCCGCCGCCGUAA